rnacentral:rRNA from 1 species
UACGUAGGGUGCAAGCGUUAAUCGGAAUUACUGGGCGUAAAGCGUGCGCAGGCGGUUCUAUAAGACAGAUGUGAAAUCCCCGGGCUCAACCUGGGAACUGCAUUUGUGACUGUAGAGCUGGAGUACGGCAGAGGGGGAUGGAAUUCCGCGUGUAGCAGUGAAAUGCGUAGAUAUGCGGAGGAACACCGAUGGCGAAGGCAAUCCCCUGGGCCUGUACUGACGCUCAUGCACGAAAGCGUGGGGAGCAACAGG